rnacentral:misc_RNA from 1 species
UCUCCGUUGGUGAACCAGCGGAGGGAUCAUUACCGAGCUCCAGCAACUCCCAACCCUUGCGAACCGUACCCCAGUCUGUUCUCGUUGCUUCCGGCAGGCGGGGGGGGCCACCUGGCCCCUCCCCCUGCCGGGGGCGGCGGGCCCUCUGAACCUUUGUAUCUCAACCACUGAAACCCGUCUGAGCAAAACAAAAAAUAAUCAAAACUUUCAACAACGGAUCUCUUGGCUCUG